AGUGAACGCUGGCGGUAGGCCUAACACAUGCAAGUCGAACGGCAGCACAGUAAGAGCUUGCUCUUACGGGUGGCGAGUGGCGGACGGGUGAGGAAUACAUCGGAAUCUACUUUUUCGUGGGGGAUAACGUAGGGAAACUUACGCUAAUACCGCAUACGACCUACGGGUGAAAGCAGGGGAUCUUCGGACCUUGCGCGAUUGAAUGAGCCGAUGUCGGAUUAGCUAGUUGGCGGGGUAAAGGCCCACCAAGGCGACGAUCCGUAGCUGGUCUGAGAGGAUGAUCAGCCACACUGGAACUGAGACACGGUCCAGACUUCUACGGGAGGCAGCAGUGGGGAAUAUUGGACAAUGGGCGCAAGCCUGAUCCAGCCAUACCGCGUGGGUGAAGAAGGCCUUCGGGUCGUAAAGCCCUUUUGUUGGGAAAGAAAAGCAGCAGGUUAAUACCCCGCUGUUCUGACGGUACCCAAAGAAUAAGCACCGGCUAACUUCGUG
rnacentral:rRNA from 1 species